GGUGUCUUAACCGAGCGGUUAGGUAACGGUCUGCAAAACCGUGUAGAGCGGUUCGACUCCGCUAGACACCUCUA
rnacentral:tRNA from 3 species